UACAGAGGUCUCAAGCGUUGUUCGGAUUCAUUGGGCGUAAAGGGUGCGUAGGCGGCGCGGUAAGUCGGGUGUGAAAUCUCGGAGCUUAACUUCGAAACUGCAUUCGAUACUGCCGUGCUUGAGGACUGGAGAGGAGACUGGAAUUUACGGUGUAGCGGUGAAAUGCGUAGAGAUCAUGAGGAAGACCAGUGGCGAAGGCGGGUCUCUGGACAGUUCCUGACACUGAGACACGAAGGCCAGGGGAGCAAACGGG
rnacentral:rRNA from 1 species